UUCAUGCUGAGAAUUUCAUCUGGUUGAUAAAACAAGACCACAGGGAACAGGCAUAAACUCCCAUAGUGAUAUAUGACAAUUGGCUUUGUACAAUGUCUAAGGUAGCAGCAACUGCCAACAGCAGAACUGGGAGAACAGCCUGGAAUCCAAUCUCAAUUAAAGCUACACAUCAUCCUCAACUGGCGACUCCUGGGAGGCCUCUCUCUUCUGUAUCUGUUCUGCAAAACCACCAAAUGCCUCCAGCUGACAGCUUUUCAAAAUAGUUACUUUUGGCAUCACUUCUAUGGGCACAAUAUGUCCUGGAUAAUUUAUUUCAUCUUACGUGUUAGGCUCUUUUCUAAUUAAAUCUUUUGCUUCAUGAAA